UACCCACCUCUUAUUCUCUUCCCUAUAUAACCUCCUCCUCAUCUACCUUCAAUAAUUUGAGAGUCCUCCAUGUCCAAGGAUUUUUUUCCCAAUUUGGUGGCAUUAUGUUCUUUCACCUAUUGAAGAUAUUAAGGUAUGAAAAGUUCUAUCCUAUUAAUUAUUAUGAUUUUUAUACUAAUGUAUCCAUCAUUUUUUGUUUUAGUUUUAAUUUCAAAUUUGAUUUUGCAACCCUUGGACGCUCUACUCAUAGAUAACAUACAAGUAAUAAAGGUAUCACAAUUAUUUCUUAAACAAGUUUCUUUGUUAAGUAAUUCAUCUUUUUUUACUGACUUGUUUCAUUGUCCUCGUUGUGCAACCCAAACUAAUCAAAUCUUCUGUUAGUUUGAGGUUUGUGUUACAUUAUAUACCAAUUUUUACAGUUUAUUCCCCCUGUAGUAUGUUUUUUUUUUUUUUGGGAUCAUUUAUACAUGUUUUUUACAUUUGAUUUAUUGUAACUUUUUUUUGUUGUUUAUUUCCUACAUUUGUUUGUUUUUUAUUUUUAUUUUUUUUUGUUGAUAAGCAUUAUAUAUUGUUGAUAAUUGUAUAUUUGGAAAUUGAUAAUUUGUUGGGCAUUUUGAAUGCAUAUUGUUUUAUUUAUGUUGUGUGAAUUUCAAUAGUUUUAUUUUUGUUGUGUGAAGUUUAAUAAUUUUAAUUUCUGUUAUAUAAUGACCAUAAAAUAUCUAAAUUGGGCAAUGGUUAAUUGUAGAUAAUUGUAGAUUUGAAAGCUCAUAAAAUUAAUUGUAGGUUUCCGUUUUUAAAAAUAAAUAGUUAUUUUUGUUUUUAAAAAUAAAAUAAAAUCAUAGCAUCACACUUAAUUGUAAGUUUGAAGACAUGUUUUUAUAUAUAUUAAAAAAAUGGAAAUGGAAAUUUGGAUAUUUAUAAAUUCACCUUCAUAAAAUCUUAUAAGUUUGACAAUUUCAAGAUUCAUAAAUUUAAUUAAUUUUACAUUAAUUAAACUGUUUUUAGAUAAGUUACGAUGUUUUCACUCAAAUCAUAAACAAAAGUAAAAUGAACAUUUCCAUAAUAAUAAGUACAUAAUUGACCACUUCAAAUCGCAGAACAUUUUCAGAAUAAUAAGUAAAAGAAAUUUUUUUUCCUAAUAUUAUUAUUUUUUGGGUUAAAGAGUAUUUUGAUCCAUGUACUUCCACAAUUGUCCAAUUUUAAUUUUUGUACUUCAAAAAAAUCUUCAAUUUUUUUUUGUUCAAAUUUAGUUUUGAUUAAAUUAGUUAAAUAAUAUAAUAGGUUAAUAAGCUUUUAUAAAUCGGAAUUUCAUAAAUCAAAUUAGCUUUUAUAAGCAUUUAUAUAAUCAAAAUUUCAUAAAUUUUAUAAAUUUAAUGGGAUUUUAUUUCAUAAAUUUAAUAAGAUUUUAUCAAUUUAAUCACUCGUAAUUAGCUUUUAUAAAUCGAAAUUAGCUUUUAUUGAAAUUCUCAAUGUACAUGAAUCAAAAUAGUGUUUUCUUUAUUAUAAGAUUCUACCUAUAAAUAGUUAUAGGGAGAUGAGAUGGGGGUGACCAAUUUGAACAUAUUUCUUAUCUUGGGUCGAUAUGUAUAUAGGAAUUAGUAUUGGCUCUUAUGUACCUUCAAAAUUUUAAUUCAUAUUAGCUCUCACGGUUCCAGGAACAAUUUGAACAUAUUUCCUAUCUUUGAUGGAAAAUGAAUAACUAUUUACCAUCAUACAAAUCAAUACCACCUCUUAGUGAUCCCUUUUCCCAAAUGAUCAUCGUAGAAUAGAUAACCAAACAUUGUUUAUUAGAAAUCGGUUUAGUCAACUGAACUUCUUCCUCUCAUUUAUGAGAAUGACUUAGGCUGUUACGAGAGCACAUGAAUGGAUAGAUGGACGUUUGGCAUCCUUUGUAACAUGCUUAGGAUGACUGGUCGAUUGACGCCUACUUAGUGUGUUGAUGUCGAAGAGAUGUUCCUCUACAUAUUGGCCCACAACGUCAAGAAUUGAGUAGUUCAAAGACAAUUUGCGUUGUCUCAUGGAAUUGUUUUAUGACAUUUCAAAAUUUUCCUUACUGCAGUGCUACAACUUCAUGAGAUACUGUAAAAAAAAAAUCAGAGCCCAUCACAAAUGACUACAAUGAUGAGGGAUGAAAAUGGUUCCAGAUAUACAGAUGCAUGUGGCUUGAUGGUCGAUCGUGACAAGAUUAAAAAACACACUGGGUUCAAGGUUGAAGAUGUAAAGUUAGUUGAAUCGUUAAUGCAUUUGGUUGAGAAUGAGUGGUUAGCUAAUAAUGGAACUUUCAAGUUUAGCUAUUUUCAACUACUUGAAACUGUGGCAUCGAAGCAUCAACUAUAGAGUGUAAAGUGAGGUUCUUAAAACGACAAUAUACAACAAUUAAUGAGAUGUUGAGCAACGCAUACAACGACUUUUGUUGGAAUGAAUAUUUCAAGUGCGUGGAUGAUGUGUUUGACUUAUGGGUUCAGUCACAUCCUAACGCGAAGAGUAUGAGGCACAAACCAUUCCCUCACUUUGACAAACUUUCCCUUAUUUUUGGGAAUAAUAGAGCUACUGGUGAGAACUCUCAAACUCCUAUUGACUAGACAUAAGAAAUGGCAGAAAAUAUGAAUGCUUCCAAAUUUGAAUCAGAGGAUAAUGAGUAACCAGAGGACCAACUAUUUGAGAACAUGUCGACUGUUGACGACAUGAACGAGCUUUUCUUAGAUACACUUACCAGUAGGCGUGUUAGACCAACCAACAACACCUCGAGAGGAAGCAUGAGAAAUAGGAGUACAUUCAAAUCUAAGUUUCUCGACAUAGUCCAAUUAGCAACGAAGGCCCAAGAAACACAAAUGAAAAAGCUUGUAUCAUGGCAAAAAAAGAAAUGUAAGUUGGAGGUUGGGAUACGAACGGACGUUGUCAAGUAGAUCUACCAGGUUGAGGGUUUGGAGGAAGAUGAUCGAUUGACCCUUAUGGAUAUUGUGGUGACUGAUAUUCAGAAAGAAUACUGUUUUGUAGUCGUUCCCUCCGAGUUGAAACGUAGAUAUUACAUGCAUUUGUUGGACAAGACUGAUUAAUUUGAACGGUAUUGUAGAUGUCUUGAUAUAUAUAUAUAUAUAUAUAUAUAUAUAUAUAUAUAAAUUGUGUAUGUAACUUGGCCAUUUGUUAAUCCACAGUACAUAUAUAUUUUUUGUGCACCUUGUAAACGGGUUGGAAAAUAUGGCCCCUGUAUAAGCUAGUAUCUACUUUUUGUGCAAUAAGUAUAAUGACCAGUAAAGACAUUGUAUUAUAUAUGCAACUAAUAUAA